AGACUUGGGUAAGCCGGCAUCGGUGAGCAUCCUCUGAGCAUACAGUGCCCAGGCAAAUAGGCCAACAGGGAGGACAGUGCCCCCACUAUGAGAUUUCGACGCCUGACUCCUGGCUACUUCCGGGUGCUACAGGUGGCUCCUGCUAUGCAGUAUGGAAGAUGGUGAAGCAGCGGCAACCAUCACAGGCCCCGUGAUGAGGCGGGUAGCCUCUCGCCCAGGCUUGGAGGGUUCGACACUCAGCUGCUUCAGCCUGGGAAAAAGAAGAGUUGGAGAUCGGAGCUCACCGAGUGCAAACCCUUCCUGCAUGGCACCCAUCCGCCAGUCCUCUACUGACCCCUCCAUACCUUUUCUUGUGGUCUUUGGAUCGGAAAUGGGUCUUCAGGUUGGCUGAAUCGAUGAAGUACCUCCUGCAGGAAUGUAGGGCUGGACUCACGCGCAAGCCAGACAGCGAUGCAGGCCGCCCCCUGGCAGGUCCGGGUCGGGCUCCGCGUCCGGCUCCGGCUUGGGCCGCGGGAGCCCCUGCGGCCUCAGCUCGCGAUGAAUCUCAUCCAGGUCCGGCCGCCGCUUCUUGGCCUUCAUCUGGCGGGCUAAGGAAUGUGCUCGGUGCGCGCCGGUCCGCCGAGAGCGACCCAUGAUCAGAGAGACACCCACACACAAGACCAAGAAACAGGGAGUAGGGAAAAGACCCACACGUGUUGGCGCUUCCGGGCCGCCCAGUGACGUCACGAGAGGCCCGCCCGGGGGCGGAGCAGGAUUGGACAGACUGCCUCUGAUGACGUCACGGUCGGGUUGGCCGUUUGAGCGCCCCCAGAUGGUCGUCGAUGAUAGUGACUGGGCUCUCGCGGGGCGUGAGCGGGCUUGAGGGGAGCCGGUCCCACUAUUCUGCCCGCCCCAUCCUCACUUGCCGGUUUCCACACCCCGAAUUUCAGUGGUAGGGGAUGCUUUUAACGUCUCUGGAAGCACUGUUGCUUGUGCCAUGAAUAAAUUACUUCAUAAAUGAGAA